rnacentral:misc_RNA from 1 species
UCCCCAGGUCCCUGCGCCUGGC